AUUUCUGAAUUAUUCAGUGUUGUCCACGUACUAGUUGUCAUAAACAGACUUUCGAUCUCUUUAUGAUGGCAGUACAGCAGAUCACUUAAGGAUUGCUAAGACAUGAAUUAACGUUUCUAACACUUGACAAAGUUACAACAUCCUACGUUGAAAAUGGACUAGACGAUACUGAUAAUAAUAAUGGUUUUAUGCAAAAUUGCAGUGCAACAGAUCACUCAAGGCUUGCUGAGCAUGAAUUAACAUUUUUAGCGCUUGGAAUAGUUUCAACAUCCUAUGUUUAAUAUGGAUUAGAAGGUAUUAAUAUUAAUAAUGGUGUUUUGCACGGUACGUGAAUGAAUGUAAAUGAUAGCAACAUAAUAGAAAUGUAACAAAAAGUUAGUGUUAUGAAACCCUUACCAUUAGAUUAAGUAAAUGAUUCUUAUUUAGCAUUAUUAACUUCCAUGUAUUUCAUUGAUGAUGAUACUUCAUAAAC
rnacentral:lncRNA from 1 species